GAUGAACGCUAGCUACAGGCUUAACACAUGCAAGUCGAGGGGUAGCAGGGUAGCAAUACCGCUGACGACCGGCGCACGGGUGAGUAACACGUAUCCAACCUUCCCAUAACUCGGGGAUAGCCUUUCGAAAGAAAGAUUAAUACCUGAUAGUACUUAAGCAAGGCAUCUUUUUUAAGUUAAAGCUUUAUUGGUUAUGGAUGGGGAUGCGUUCCAUUAGAUAGGUGGUGAGGUAACGGCUCACCAAGUCUUCGAUGGAUAGGGGUUCUGAGAGGAAGGUCCCCCACAUUGGUACUGAGACACGGACCAAACUCCUACGGGAGGCAGCAGUGAGGAAUAUUGGUCAAUGGGCGAGAGCCUGAACCAGCCAAGUAGCGUGAAGGAUGAAGGUCCUAUGGAUUGUAAACUUCUUUUAUAGUAGAAUAAAGUGAACCACGUGUGGUUUUUUGUAUGUAUACUAUGAAUAAGGAUCGGCUAACUCCGUGCCAGCAGCCGCGGUAA
rnacentral:rRNA from 1 species